GGGUGCAAUCAUACCCGUACUAAUGCACCAGAUCCCAUCAGAACUCCGUAGUGAUGCGUGCUUGGGCGAGAAUACUACUUGGAUGGGUGACCCCAUCGGAAGUCCUCGUGUUGCACCCG